AGGGACUUCCCUUGGGCAGCCUGACCCAGGGAGCACCGACUCUCUAGCCCCAAGCACACUGUGUGCUCCAAGGGACACAUGCAGCAGGGCCCCAGGGCCCCAGGAUAUCCGCACCACCUCCCCCCACGGCCACGCCCUGGCCGUCCCAGGAAAAGAUAAGAAACAGCACACUGCUCUCUGCACCUCACAUCCCAAUAAAAUAUUUAUUAUUUCAAGAAAUAAAUCUUUAAAAAAGAGAGAGAGAGA
rnacentral:lncRNA from 1 species